rnacentral:misc_RNA from 1 species
GUUUUAUUAAUAGUCUACGUUUAAUAUUUAUAAUUAAUUUUCAAACAUCCGAUGUGAUAGGAACUUAAAAGUUUUAGUCCCAUCUAAACAGGGCCUAAUACUAACAAAUUUUUUAAGAUAAUGGAAUAAAAUUUCAGCCUAUGCUUAACUAGCCAUAGCCCAAAAUACUAACAAAUAGUACUAGCCAUCGAAACAUUACCCCCUACAAUCCCGAGCUUAGCAAGAAAUCCCCAACCUUUUUUCAUACGGAUCAUCAGUAAU